rnacentral:rRNA from 1 species
UAGGGAAUCUUCGGCAAUGGGGGGAACCCUGACCGAGCAACGCCGCGUGAGUGAAGAAGGUUUUCGGAUCGUAAAGCUCUGUUGUUAAGGAAGAACGAGUGUGAGAAUGGAAAGUUCAUGCUGUGACGGUACUUAACCAGAAAGGGACGGCUAACUACGUGCCAGCAGCCGCGGUAAUACGUAGGUGGCAAGCGUUGUCCGGAUUUAUUGGGCGUAAAGCGAGCGCAGGCGGUCAAUUAAGUCUGAUGUGAAAGCCCCCGGCUCAACCGGGGAGGGUCAUUAGAAACUGGUUGACUUGAGUGCAGAAGAGGGGAGUGGAAGUCCAUGUGUAGCGGUGAAAUGCGUAGAUAUAUGGAGGAACACCAGUGGCGAAGGCGACUCUCUGGUCUGUAACUGACGCUGAGGUUCGAAAGCGUAGGUAGCAAACAGG